ACGACCCUUCGGGGCUAGUGGCUGCACGGGUGCGUAACGCGUGGGAACCUGCCUUUAGGUUCGGAAUAACAGUUAGAAAUGACUGCUAAUACCGGAUAAUGUCUUCGGACCAAAGAUUUAUCGCCUUUAGAUGGGCCCGCGUUAGAUUAGAUAGUUGGUGGGGUAAUGGCCUACCAAGUCGACGAUCUAUAGCUGGUCUGAGAGGAUGAUCAGCCACACUGGGACUGAGACACGGCCCAGACUCCUACGGGAGGCAGCAGUGGGGAAUAUUGGACAAUGGGCGAAAGCCUGAUCCAGCAAUGCCGCGUGAGUGAUGAAGGCCUUAUGGUUGUAAAGCUCUUUUACCAGGGAUGAUAAUGACAGUACCUGGAGAAUAAGCUCCGGCUAACUCCGUGCCAGCAGCCGCGGUAAUACGGAGGGAGCUAGCGUUGUUCGGAAUUACUGGGCGUAAAGCGCGCGUAGGCGGCUUUUUAAGUCAGAGGUGAAAUCCCAGGGCUCAACCCUGGAACUGCCUUUGAAACUGGAAAGCUAGAAUAUUGGAGAGGUAAGUGGAAUUCCGAGUGUAGAGGUGAAAUUCGUAGAUAUUCUGAAGAACACCAGUGGCGAAG
rnacentral:rRNA from 1 species